UGGGGAAUAUUGCACAAUGGGCGAAAGCCUGAUGCAGCGACGCCGCGUGAGGGAUGACGGCCUUCGGGUUGUAAACCUCUUUCAGUAGGGACGAAGCGCAAGUGACGGUACCUGCAGAAGAAGCACCGGCUAACUACGAGCCAGCAGCCGCGGUAAUACGUAGGGUGCGAGCGUUGUCCGGAAUUACUGGGCGUAAAGAGCUCGUAGGCGGUUUGUCACGUCAUCUGUGAAAUCCUAGGGCUUAACCCUGGACGUGCAGGCGAUACGGGCUGACUUGAGUACUACUGGGGAGACUGGAAUUUCUGGUGUAGCGGUGGAAUGCACAGAUAUCAGGAAGAACACCGAUGGCGAAGGCAGGUCUCUGGGUAGUAACUGACGCUGAGGAGCGAAAGCAUGGGUAGCGAACAGG
rnacentral:rRNA from 1 species